AGGUUCACCCAGGUCUGUGGGCCAGGACAAGUCAACUAGUCGUACAGCCAGGUCUGCGGGCCGCGACACGUCAACUAGUGUUACACCCAGGUCUGCGGGCCGCGACAGGUCAACUAGUCGAACAGCCAGGUCUGUGGGCCAUGACAGGUCAACUAGUGGUGAGUUUAACUUUUCAUUUUUAGAUUAUCAAAUCAGCAUACAGGUAACUAACACUAUUGAUCAUAACAAACGGAUG